AUCUUGUCGAAAUGUCGGCCAUUGUUAGCUGUACGUCUCAUCUCGUGCAGAAACACUUCAGAGCUAGUAAAGUAAUUUUGUUGGAUCAAUUUCUCUGCAAUAAUGUAAUAGGUUUUAUUAGUUGAUUUUCAUGCCGGAAAUGGAGAUCCCUUUGCUCAACUGUUGCAGAAAUUUAGAACACGACAAAGUCUGAGCUUCAUGGCUGUAGUAUCAUUAAUGUGGUUUUGUUGCAGCCAGCUGGUGAAAGGUGUGAUCGAGUCAUGGUUGAGUUGCAGCUUCUGCAUGCAGUUUAUCGAGCUGGUGCUAUCCCAAGUGUAACUGCAGGAAAACUUCUUGAAUUGUUGAUCGCUACAGAUUUAGUUAAUGACUUGAGAGUAGACCCCUUUGCUUCUCUGUUGCAAUUAUGAGUUAAGACCAUUAUGGAAAUGUGGAUUACAUUUGUUAUUUUCAAGUUGGAAAACUUGACAACUACAAAUUCCUUUGUAAGAUUUAUCAAGCCGGGUGAAGUCUGCGCUUCUUUGUUGCAGUCUAAUGUGCGCAUGGAUUCGCUGCAGUCAUCCAGUGAAAGGUGUGAUUAAAUUGAGCUGUUGCAUGCAGUCUUUGGUGCUGAUGUUGUCCUGGAGUGUGGGAGAGUCCCAUGCUUCAAGUCUUUUGGGAUCAGCUAUAUCUAAGUUGACGCUGGAUCAUGCUGCAUUGUGGUUGCCGAAAUGUUGGACAUCUAGUAGAACUGCAAGAAGACUCCUUGAAAUGGUUUAUGUUUACGUAGCAGUGAUGUUGCUGUCCAAUAUGGCAUAUGUUGUUGCAGCCUAUACUGGUGAAAGAUUUUUUGCAUCGAGUUAUGCUGUUGCUGUUCCUUGGUGCCGGACUGCUGGUGUUGUCCACAAAAGUUACAUCCAUUUUUAAUUGUUAUUUGUGUCCAUGCAGUUAACCGUUUAUAUGUUGAAAAAGGAACAGAAAAGUUCCUUGGUGUUGAAUCGCUGGUGUUGUGCUACAUAAGUUACAUCCAGUAUUUUAUUUAAUUGCUAUUUGCGUCUAUGAAGUUAACCGUUUAUAUGUUGAGAAUGA